CAGUAGGGAAUCUUCCGCAAUGGACGAAAGUCUGACGGAGCAACGCCGCGUGAGUGAUGAAGGUUUUCGGAUCGUAAAACUCUGUUGUUAGGGAAGAACAAGUACCAGAGUAACUGCUGGUACCUUGACGGUACCUAACCAGAAAGCCACGGCUAACUACGUGCCAGCAGCCGCGGUAAUACGGAGGGUGCAAGCGUUGUCCGGAAUCACUGGGUGUAAAGGGUGUGCAGGCGGGGCAACAAGUCGGAUGUGAAACCCCAUGGCUCAACCAUGGAGGUGCAUUCGAAACUGUUGCUCUUGAGUCCCGGAGAGGCUGUCGGAAUUCGUGGUGUAGCGGUGAAAUGCGUAGAUAUCACGAGGAACACCAGAGGCGAAAGCGGGCAGCUGGACGGGUACUGACGCUCAGGCACGAAAGCGUGGGGAGCAAACAGGAUUAGAUACCCUGGUAGUCCACGCCGUAAACGAUGAACGCUCGCCGUUGCCCCGGUUAAGGGGCAGUGGCUAAGCUAACGCGUUAAGCGUUCCACCUGGGGAGUACGAUCGCAAGGUUGAAACUCAAAGG
rnacentral:rRNA from 1 species